CAUCGAACCUUAAACACACAUAUGUCUAACCCAGUCAAUUGUCAACCUUAAAAGUAAGACUAUUUGCACCCCACGGUUUACUAACGGCACCCCAAUUUCUCGCCAAAAAACACAAUCUUACAACACCCCAUUUAUCCCUACCAUGAAGCCUCAAAUCCUCUCAAACAUUGCCUCUCUGUUUUCAUUCAUUCACCAGAAACCCAAACCCUUGUUUCAUCUUCGUUUGCGACGGAAGGAGAAGGAGGUGGUCCGACAAAGGUGAGCGAAUUCAAGAAGAUUGGCCCAAAUCAUCGUUUCAUCACACGCUCGAGCUCGCUCAGGGAGUAAGACGACCCCAUCACCAUCAUCACGUAGCCGAGCUCCGACAAUGAGAUCUUGCCUUCGUCGUUGGCCUCAAAUCGGCUGAAACCUUCUCAAGCUCUUCCACGUCAGGGAGAUUUGAGCAAGAGUUGGGGAACUCAUACCCGUUGGCAUUGAGAAGGUGUGGAUGGAUUUGGUGUAGUUUUGAGGGAGUUGCAGAACAAGAAAAGCGGCACCUACAACUUGCAGAUCUAGGGUUUGGACUGGGGUGCAGUUUGUGUUGUUACUCCAAAUCAGAAAAAGGGGUGCACUACAUAAUCUUAUAUUUUUAAGUGAGGUGUAUUGAGAUUGGGUUGUACUUAGCAAAUUUUGGGGUGCAUAUAAUCGUACUUCAAUCUUAAUUGUUGUUGUUGCAUGUUGACAAUCACAGCAAUAAAUUUAUCUUGACUUGA